rnacentral:lncRNA from 1 species
GAGACCAGUCCUGGCCAGGGCAGUUACCAGGACGGUCUCCGGAGGCCGGGAUUCGCGGAGGGUCCGCCAGGAGGAAGAAACCUCAGACAGAUCGCCGGGGACGCAGCGCGGGAUCCCAGCCUCAGGCGUGCACGGACGGUGUGCGGGAAGGGAGUGUAUCCUGGUGUAUGACAGCAUAUAGUAGAGACCAGUGUCAAUUAGGGCCUGUGAACUGAGACAGGGUGACUGGCUAAGUCCACAACCCAUUAGAAACCCAGAAAUAAUCAAAUCAUGGAGAGAUUAGUCCAGGGACAAUAAAUAUGGAUUAGGGAAGAAUGUGUUAACUCAGCAGGCCAGGGUUUCUUCAACCCUGCACAUUCAAAGAGGGAUCAUGGAAAGGAAGCUGAAUUUGCUGAGUUUUGCCACGUGGGCAUUGCAUGCCUAUGUGAUUAACCACCAAUAAAAACCUGGGACAUCAAAAAAUAAAUAAGCUGCUUUAAUUGCCAAGAA